rnacentral:tRNA from 1 species
GCAGGUGUGGCGGAAUUGGCAGACGCGUACGGUUCAGGGCCGUAUGAACUUUUAGUUCAUAGAGGUUCAAGUCCUCUCACCUGCA